ACCGCCGCCGGACGGAAACCGGUCGCGAGGGUUGGGGAGCCUGAUGACCGAUCGGCUUUCGAGGUCACCCGAGUUGAUAGGGAACUCGGCAUGAGCCGCUCUGGCGAAGGAG
rnacentral:sRNA from 12 species